AUUCCAUGAUGUGGACAUCUCCUUAAAAGAUCCUUGUACCUCUCCCAUGCUUCAUAAAGACUCUUAUUAGCCUUUGGUCUAAAAAAAGUCAAUUAUUGAGCCA